CUUCCGUAGGGGGAACCUGCGGAAGGAUCAUUAGUGAAUAUAGGACGUCCAACUUAACUUGGAGUCCGAACUCUCACUUUCUAACCCUGUGCACUUGUUUGGGAUAGUAACUCUCGCAAGAGAGCGAACUCCUAUUCACUUAUAAACACAAAGUCUAUGAAUGUAUUAAAUUUUAUAACAAAAUAAAACUUUCAACAACGGAUCUCUUGGCUCUCGCAUCGAUGAAGAACGCAGCGAAAUGCGAUAAGUAAUGUGAAUUGCAGAAUUCAGUGAAUCAUCGAAUCUUUGAACGCACCUUGCGCUCCAUGGUAUUCCGUGGAGCAUGCCUGUUUGAGUGUCAUGAAUACUUCAACCCUCCUCUUUCUUAAUGAUUGAAGAGGUGUUUGGUUUCUGAGCGCUGCUGGCCUUUACGGUCUAGCUCGUUCGUAAUGCAUUAGCAUCCGCAAUCGAACUUCGGAUUGACUUGGCGUAAUAGACUAUUCGCUGAGGAAUUCUAGUCUUCGGAUUAGAGCCGGGUUGGGUUAAAGGAAGCUUCUAAUCAGAAUGUCUACAUUUUAAGAUUAGAUCUCAAAUCAGGUAGGACUACCCGCUGAACUUAAGCAUAUCAAUAAGCGGAGGAAAG
rnacentral:rRNA from 1 species